rnacentral:rRNA from 1 species
ACUCCAUGAAGCUGGAUUCGCUAGUAAUCGCGCAUCAGCCACGGCGCGGUGAAUACGUUCCCGGGCCUUGUACACACCGCCCGUCAAGCCAUGGAAGCCGGGAGUGCCUGAAGCCUGUGACCCAACCGAAUGGAGGGAGCAGUCGAAGGUGGGACCGGUGACUGGGGUGAAGUCGUAACAAGGUACC